UUUGAUGGUACCAUCAGAAGAGUUUUGCCGCUUUCAACACAUAUUCCCAGUGGACUUCCAGAAAGGGAUUCCUGUGCCCUAUAACGGGAGUGAAGAAGAAAAUGGCCACUUACAUCGAACAACACCUAUUGAAGAUUUAUGAUGCCUGCGAGUCAACCAAAAUCUGCACAAAAUCCAGCUCCACGAGCACCAACAACAACUAUGGAAUAAAUACUUGAAUAAAGGAAUUGCUUUAA